rnacentral:tRNA from 1 species
GUACUAGUAGUACAAUUAGAACUAGUACUACUAGUAUGUACUACUAGUACUAGUAGUGCUACUAGUACUAGUACUAGAACGUAUACUAGUACUAGUACU